CACGCACCCCUUGCUGCGCAUGCCCUUUGUUACGCAUACACGUUCCUGAGCAUUCUGUGAGGAGCAUUGGGCCUGAGACGGAUCUGUUUAUUCAGUCCCUGUUCUUUCUCACUACUUGAGACUCACCAGGGAGAAAUAUGAGUGGGCAAGUGGCGUCAACAUUGGGACCUAGAGAUCAAGAUUCCUCCCAGCUGGAUGAACCUGUGGUCCGGCCCAGUGUUGAGCAACCUGAGCAAGAGGAACCACCAGCUGAGAUUCAGGAUAUCACACCUAGAAAGGAGGAGGUCCAUGGAGAGGAUCCAGUGAAUCGUGAUGAAGAGGAGGAGAAGGAUGCCUCCGAAGGCGACAACACAAACUACCAGGCAUCAGGGAGAGGCCCCUGCCUUCCGAUCCCAAGAGGCGACCAUCACCAGCUGUCAUCUGUGUGGAAGGAAACGUCCUGCGACUCUGGCAAGGAUGGUCCCUCCGAGCCUCCAAGCUGCUGAGAGAGGACCUCCGGGCACGCAGUCGAGAGGACCCGGCACUAACUCCUCUUCUCCGAAUCCCCUGGCCCUACUGCCAUCGUCCCCGUGGAGGAACCUACUUGUCUUCAGGCCAUUCCAGGCUCCCUCUCAAUCCACUACAACCCAGGGAAUACACAGGAAGGUCCUUCUACAAGGAAGGGAGGGGUAAAUGUCCCAUCUUUGUGACGUCAACACCAGGCCCGCCAACUCCUCACCCCCGAAGGGCGGCUAGGCUCUAGGACGCUGGAGGACUCCUCUCUGUGGUCUUUACCCUUCUAUUCCACACACACUAAGGAUGGGAGGCCGACCGCCGCCCACUCCCGGCUUCUCGCAGGGGCUGAGGAUGGGAGGCACUGCAUUGGCGUCCUGCUGUUGAGAACGUGAUCCUGAGAAGGAAUGUGUGAGAGCGAGGGGUAGAGACAGGGACAGGCACGCAGAGGAAGACAUCUAUCUCUCUAGGACCAACCAGGUGUGCCUUAGUGUCUCAGACCAGAAUCCUCUUUAGCCAAAUGGGAUCCGUGUUCUCUCAGAACAGUUC
ensembl:lncRNA